rnacentral:rRNA from 1 species
ACCCGCACAAGCGGUGGAUGAUGUGGAUUAAUUCGAUGCAACGCGAAGAACCUUACCUACCCUUGACAUGUCCGGAACUUGCCAGAGAUGGCUUGGUGCCCGAAAGGGAAUCGGAACACAGGUGCUGCAUGGCUGUCGUCAGCUCGUGUCGUGAGAUGUUGGGUUAAGUCCCGCAACGAGCGCAACCCUUAUCAUUAGUUGCUACGCAAGGGCACUCUAAUGAGACUGCCGGUGACAAGCCGGAGGAAGUGGGGAUGACGUCAAGUCCUCAUGGCCCUUAUGGGUAGGGCUUCACACGUCAUACAAUGGUCGGUACAGAGGGUUGCCAAGCCGCGAGGCGGAGCCAAUCCCACAAAGCCGAUCGUAGUCCGGAUUGUUCUCUGCAACUCGAGAGCAUGAAGUCGGAAUCGCUAGUAAUCGCAGGUCAGCAUACUGCGGUGAAUACGUUCCCGGGUCUU